GACGUCGAUACUCGACGUCAUAAACACGAUCAACUUUGGUGUUUAUGACGUCGAUAUUCAACGUCAUAAACAGAUCAACUUUGGUGUUUAUGACGUCGAUAUUCGACGUAAUAAACACGACCAACUUUGGUGUAUAUGACGUCGAUAUUCGACUUCAUAAACACGAUCACCUUUGGUGUUUAUGACGUCGAUAUUCGACGUAAUAAACACGAUCAACUUUGGUGUUUAUGACGUCGAUAUUUGGCGUC
rnacentral:miRNA from 1 species